UAUUCAUUGGUUGGGUGCACAUGUCU
rnacentral:piRNA from 1 species